GAUGAACGCUGGCGGCGUGCUUAACACAUGCAAGUCGAACGGUGAAGCAGGAGCUUGCUCUUGUGGAUCAGUGGCGAACGGGUGAGUAACACGUGAGCAACCUGCCCCUGACUCUGGGAUAAGCGCUGGAAACGGCGUCUAAUACUGGAUAUGUGAUGUGACCGCAUGGUCUGCAUCUGGAAAGAAUUUCGGUUGGGGAUGGGCUCGCGGCCUAUCAGCUUGUUGGUGAGGUAAUGGCUCACCAAGGCGUCGACGGGUAGCCGGCCUGAGAGGGUGACCGGCCAAACUGGGACUGAGACACGGCCCAGACUCCUACGGGAGGCAGCAGUGGGGAAUAUUGCACAAUGGGCGGAAGCCUGUUGCAGCAACGCCGCGUGAGGGAUGACGGCCUUCGGGUUGUAAACCUCUUUUAGCAGGGAAGAAGCGAAAGUGACGGUACCUGCAGAAAAAGCACCGGCUAACUACGUGCCAGCCGCCGCGGUAA
rnacentral:rRNA from 1 species